ACCGGAUAGGACGAAAGUUUAAAGGUGCUUCGGCACCACUGAUGGAUGAGCCUGCGGCGCAUUAGCUAGUUGGUAGGGUAAAGGCCUACCAAGGCGACGAUGCGUAGCCGACCUGAGAGGGUGAACGGCCACACUGGGACUGAGACACGGCCCAGACUCCUACGGGAGGCAGCAGUAGGGAAUCUUCGGCAAUGGGCGAAAGCCUGACCGAGCAACGCCGCGUGAAUGAUGAAGGCCUUCGGGUUGUAAAAUUCUGUUAUAAGGGAAGAAUGGCUCUAGUAGGAAAUGGCUAGAGUGUGACGGUACCUUAUGAGAAAGCCACGGCUAACUACGUGCCAGCAGCCGCGGUAAUACGUAGGUGGCGAGCGUUAUCCGGAAUUAUUGGGCGUAAAGAGCGCGCAGGUGGUUGAUUAAGUCUGAUGUGAAAGCCCACGGCUUAACCGUGGAGGGUCAUUGGAAACUGGUCAACUUGAGUGCAGAAGAGGGAAGUGGAAUUCCAUGUGUAGCGGUG
rnacentral:rRNA from 1 species